rnacentral:rRNA from 1 species
GCUUACGGCCAUACCACCCUGGCAAUGCCCGAUCUCAUCUGAACUCGGAAGUAAAGCAGGGUGGGGCCUGGUUAGUACUUGGAUGGGAGACCGCCUGGCAAUACCAGGUGCUGUAAGCU